rnacentral:rRNA from 1 species
UACGUAGGGUGCGAGCGUUGUCCGGAAUUACUGGGCGUAAAGAGCUCGUAGGUGGUUUGUCGCGUUGUCCGUGAAAACUCACAACUCAAUUGUGGGCGUGCGGGCGAUACGGGCAGACUGGAGUACUGCAGGGGAGACUGGAAUUCCUGGUGUAGCGGUGAAAUGCGCAGAUAUCAGGAAGAACACCCGUGGCGAAGGCGGCUCUCUGGGACGGUACUGACGCUGAGACGCGAAAGCGUGGGGAGCGAACAGG